UGACAGGUCAUUAGAGAGAAGAUGUGUAUUUGAAUUCCUCUCUUUUUUGUCCUGAUGC
ensembl:miRNA